rnacentral:rRNA from 1 species
CUGGCUCAGGAUUAACGCUGGCGGCAUGCCUAAUACAUGCAAGUCGAACGGGACUAGCUUGCUAGUCCAGUGGCGAACGGGUGAGUAACACGUAGGUAAUCCACCCCUAGGACGAGGAUAGCUUCUGGAAACGGAAGGUAAAACUGGAUAGUAUAUAGAAGGGCAUCCUUUUAUAUUUAAAAGAGCAAUCUACCUAGGGAAGAGCCUGCGGCGCAUUAGCCAGUUGGCGGGGUAACGGCCCACCAAAGCGAUGAUGCGUAGCCGGACUGAGAGGUUGAACGGCCACAUUGGGACUGAGACACGGCCCAGACUCCUACGGGAGGCAGCAGUAGGGAAUUUUCGGCAAUGGGCGGAAGCCCUGACCGAGCAAUGCCGCGUGAAUGAAGAAGUAUUUCGGUAUGUAAAGUUCUUUUAUUAGGGACGAAAAAACAAAUUGACGGUACCUAAUGGAUAAGCUCCGGCUAACUACGUGCCAGCCGCGGC